GCGCGAAAACUUUGCAAUGCGCGAAAGCUCGACAAGGUUAAUCUGAGUGGUUCACUGAUGAAUAAGGGGUGGGCAAGUCUGGUGUCAGCCGCCGCGGUAAAACCAGCACCUCAAGUGGUCAGGAUGAUUAUUGGGCCUAAAGCAUCCGUAGCCUGUUCUGUAAGUUUUCGGUUAAAUCUAUUCGCUCAACGUAUAGGCUGCCGAAAAUACUGCAGAACUAGGGAGUGGGAGAGGUAGACGGUACUCGGUAGGAAGGGGUAAAAUCCUUUGAUCUAUUGAUGACCACCUGUGGCGAAGGCGGUCUACCAGAACACGUUCGACGGUGAGGGAUGAAAGCUGGGGGAGCAAACCGGAUUAGAUACCCGGGUAGUCCCAGCUGUAAACGAUGCAAACUCGAUGAUGCGUUGGCUUAUUGCUAGCGCAGUGUCGCAGGGAAGCCGUUAAGUUUGCCGCCUGGGAAGUACGUACGCAAGUAUGAAACUUAAAGGAAUUGGCGGGGGAGCACACAAGGGGUGAAGCUGCGGUUCAAUUGGAGUCAACGCCUGAAACCUUACCCGGAGAGACAGCAGAAUGAAGGUCAAGCUGAAGACUUUACCAGACAAGCUGAGAAGUAGUGCAUGGCC
rnacentral:rRNA from 1 species